rnacentral:rRNA from 1 species
UGAACCUACGGGAGGCAGCAGUGAGGAAUAUUGGUCAAUGGGCGCAAGCCUGAACCAGCCAAGUCGCGUGAGGGAUGACGGUCCUAUGGAUUGUAAACCUCUUUUGUCGGGGAGCAAGGCCCGCCACGUGUGGCGGGAAGGAGAGUACCCGAAGAAAAAGCAUCGGCUAACUCCCUGCCCGCAGCCGCGGUAAUACGGAGGAUGCGAGCGUUAUCCGGAUUUAUUGGGUUUAAAGGGUGCGUAGUCGGAAGGUUAAGUCAGCG